rnacentral:rRNA from 1 species
AUUGAACGCUGGCGGCAGGCCUAACACAUGCAAGUCGAGCGGAGCGGCGGACGGGUGAGUAAUGCCUAGGAAUCUGCCUGGUAGUGGGGGAUAACGUCCGGAAACGGGCGCUAAUACCGCAUACUAUCAGAAUAGCCUAGGUCGGAUUAGCGGGUUGGUGGGGUAACGGCUCACCAAGGCGACGAUCCCUAGCUGGUCUGAGAGGAUGACCAGCCAGACGGGAACUGAGAAACGGUCCAGACUCCUACGGGAGGCAGCAGUGGGGAAUAUUGAACAAUGGGCGCAAGCCUGAUGCAGCCAUGCCGCGUGUAUGAAGAAGGCCGUCGGGUUGUAAAGUACUUUCAGCGGGGAGGCGUUACCCGCAGAAGAAGCACCGGCUAACUCCGUGCCAGCAGCCGCGGUAAUUC